CAAACGACUUCUGUUACCGUGUCCUACACGUCUUUAACUCAUUUUUUCUCUCUAUCUUCGCCACUAAUCACACUUCAUGCAUGGCUCAUGGGAACGAUGACGAAGCGGCGUCGCUUUAAGCCUAUGUCAAGCUACAACGUAAACGCUGAAGACCGAUCAAACCAAACCGUAGUCGCCGAUCUUGACGGAACCCUAACAUCCUCCUCGAGACCACUCCUCUACUUCUUCCUCGUUGCACUCAAAGCAGGAAGCUUGCUUCGUGCGUUGAUCUUACUCGCGUCCGUACCACUCGUGCACCUCACGUAUCUCUUCGUCUCCGAAAGCCUCGCCGUCAAAGUCGCAGUCUUUAUCACAUUCGCUGGCCUUAAGCUCGGCGACGUCGAGCACGUGGCCCGCCACGUCUUAGCAAGAGUCUACGAGAAAGAGUUGAAGCGGGACACGUGGCGUAUUUUCGAGGCGUUCGGGAAACGGUACAUUGUGACGGCGAGUCCUAGGGUCAUGGUCGAGCCGUUCGCUAAGAACUUUCUUGGCGCUGAUAAAGUUAUUGGUACGGAGCUUGGGUUCACAAGGUUUGGUUGGUUAACCGGUUUCGCUAGAAAACCGGGUGUCAUGUUGGGUAAGCAGAAACGCGACGCCGUUUUGAAGGAGUUCAGUGGUGGUGGUGGUGGGAUUGGCUUACCUGAUUUGGGGCUGGGUGAUAGCCAGUCAGAUUACUCUUUCAUGUCUCUCUGCAAGGAGGCUUACAUGGUGUAACGGACAACAUAUGUGUCAUACAGUGUCUAUGUUACUUGCCUUGCAAUGCGACAAUAAUGUUAAUUUCUAAGUAAUUACGUGUGGCAAAAUGCUAAUUCUAAUAAAAUUAUCCGACUACUGUUUUUGUUUCCGAUAUUUUACUACAGAGAUUUCGAAGCCAAUAUUAAUUCUUGGUUGUGUUUAGGCCUUUAGGGUAUGACUUGAUAUAUAUAGUUUGUGUCACGUGAAAGGUUAUAUGUUUCCAUUUUAGAACUCUCGGACCCCAAUUUUACUUUUACUAUUUUCCAAAUUCCUGUUUUGGUUUUCACUGUGUAAAUGUUAUUUAAGGAAACUUUCCUUGUUUUUAUUUGGCUCAAUUAAAAGUUGCCAUAAUUAUCUCUAAUUCUACUUAUAUUAUACAUUUUCCGGACGACGUCACGUCCAUGCUGAUGUUUUAGUUUGCUUCCUUUCUUCAAUUGUCCCAAUAAAACUUUUUGAUGAUUAGUAGGGGAAAUAAAAUUUAAUUAGAUUAAUGUAAAAAAUCGUUAAUUAGUAAUUUAGUAUAGAUAACAAUCUACAUUAUAAUAAGACAGUUUCAUCAUAUUUGUGGGGCCCAGCCUUUAGUUUUUUUUUUUUUCUUCUGUCGAGUGGGUUUCGUUUUUAAAGGCGUGAGCUUUGCUGGGCCUUCACUUUCAUGAGACGCUGGGUGUGUUCGUCGGGGGUCGAUAGGGUUGCCGUCUUUCGCUAGAUCUUUCAAUCGAGGGCUCUUCCUCUUCCCCUUUUGUUAUUACUCCAUCAUUAUGAACCGAUCUUCGAUGUUGUCGCGAUUCCUCUUCCUGUAACGCCUUUCCGUUCCUAUAUAUCAAGAUUGUUGGGGUGGAUCUACAUCCUAUCUCAAGACCCAUUAGACAAUAAAUUAUGCUCAUUUUACUAUGAAGCUCUAGCUUCUUCUUUGUAUAAAUAAAGAGACAUCUCUCUUUAGCAUAGGAUCUUCUCUUCUUCCAUUUUAGACCUAGAACACAUCUUACAAAGAGUUUAUAUCAUUUUAGAUUUACUUUACACUAGAAAUUAUUCUUGUAAUACAAUCUAUGAUCAAUAAACUCUUUUUGAUGUUCAUUUCUCAUUUGGUUCUUUCAAGAUUUCUCCUAAACCUCAAGAAUCUAAUCUUUUAUUUUUAGAUUCUUUAUUUGAUUGAUUCCAACAAACACCACCAACAUAAACACCGUUUUUGGAUCAAACAGUUGGCGCUAGAAGGAGGGGGCUAAGGAGAACUAUCUUCAAAGCAUUUCAUACUUGGAAAAAUCUGAGAUAUGUGCUCAUCGAUCUCGGUUCAUACAAACGCUAAAAAGAUAAGUUUCACAACCUUAUCUUAUUGUUAAAAUUGGAUUCGAGAUUAUGGCUACACAUGCUUAGUCUACUAAAGAUUUUUUUUUUAUAAAAAAAAAAAAAAAAAAAAAUUUCUGACUUAGGAGGAGUCGUGACUCGUCACCGACGACGACUCUGGGAGAUCAAAUCGAAGACGGACGACGCCGAUGGGGCUGUGGCUGCUUUCUCGCAUUGGUCGAGUUCCGUUCCAUCCCCACCAAAGACGAACUAGCCCGUGACGGAAGGAGAAAAGAGAGAGAUCUUUCUCACCUCGACGGCGGAGGAGUCACGACCGACGACGACUCUCAGAUAGAGCUCCGGCAAAGGAAGCGGAGGCAGUCGCGGGUCGAUCCUAAGCUGACGAGAUUUCAGACAACUUCUAAUCUCCAGCGAGCUUGUAAAAGGACGAUGUCGUCGUUGCUUUCUCAGAUCCGUCGAGCUCCAUCUCCAGUCUUCACCAGACACCUAGCGGGAUUUGGGUCGAAGAAAACAGAUCCCGUAAUCAGAUGAUGACAAGAGAAAUCAACAAAAGGCUCGUCCUUUAAGAUCAACAGAUCGGAGCAAAAGAGAUUGAUGAUAACAUGUCAAAGUUUGAAGCUCCUGUCUCGAUCCGCCGGUGACUGCGUCAUCUCCGACGAAGACUUCCGACUCCAGCGACGACGAUCGUCGCUUCUCGCUAAACACCGCAUCGAUCUCCGAUGACUCCGCCGGCGGCUCCUUCUCCUGCAGUAGCCGUACCAUUCAGACGAAGCCCUCGAAACGGUGACGUCGUUGUUCUCCAGAGAAUCCAGAUCGAACUUCUCCUCAAGCUUUCAGUCCGAGAACAAGCUAGGCGAUUUGAGUGUCUGAAGUUUCAUGUUUGUUGCGACCUUGAUGAGUGGAAGGACAAGAUGGCAAUCUCGUGGCAAGGUGAUUACGAGAUUUGUUUGUCUCAACUAGGGCUUCCUUUCUCGUCGUUGCCGUCGGAAGUUAUCAUCUUUAAAGCCGCAAGACGACGAGCUCGUACCCGAACUCCACCGUUUUCUCCACAAAGGAAACAGCUUCAGCAUUCUCCAAAGAAGAGACGAGCUAGAGAGAGUGUUGAGAGGAGCUUACAAACAACACCACAUCAGCUGGCUAUCGGAUUUACAUAGCUUCUCUGCCUGACCACGAGUUCACCAAAAGGCGACAGUUAGUGAAGUCAGUGAACGAGAUCAACAUCUUGCUUCUUCAUCAAUACCUUGCUUCUUCAUCAAGCAAGCCCUCAAGACAAGCACCACACAGAGAACUUCAAGCUUACCGUUGCAAGAUGAACCGAUUCUCUGUUUCCUCUGCUCUGCUACGUGAUGAUGGUAACCCGCUGAACCUUCUUCCAUGAAGUAUCAUAGAAUACAUGGCAGAGGAGAAGGAAGAAGAGAAGCCAUGCUAUCUGUUUCCAUUGAAGAAGACGAGCACGGUAGAUUACUCAACGAUCUCGGAAAAGGCUGUAACCGGCUCAAUCCUCUUAAGAAUAAAAAGGCUCGACCUUUUGUGCUCCAUCAGUGACGUCUUUGAGCUCUAUCAAGAUGAGAAGAGUUCGAUAAGAACAAGCUCAAGCUCAGCCAUGAUCUCUAGAGCAGCUCAAGGCUUGAGGACACCAGCACCGAGAAGCUCGAGCUUGCCAUCACAAAUACAGUUCUGGUCUUGCCUUGGAAGUACGAGACACGGCCUUACCUUCAUCUCUAUACGUUGUCAGCAGCUCCAAGCUUUGUUCAAGCUCAAAAGAGAGAGAGGGAGAGAAGAAAACAGAGGAACGUGAUGGACUAUGACCAGAUCAGCGUCUCUUUAUGCUCAGCUCAUGAUCAUGCCGACGUCAAGCUCUCCAACAAGGUCUUGCUUCUUGAGGGAUCAUCUCGUCUCACCCCGUCAAUGGCUGCUCUCUCGUUACGACCGAAUCCUUGAGCUCGUGCGGUUUAACGUCGGACAAUAGGCACGUGCUUUACUCAGCACUGGCCACGUCUUCAAGCGCUCCACCGCUAGAAGCUUGUUCCUGGCUUCAAGCACUGCUUCAAGCUCCAAAAGGAACAGAAGAAAACAGAGGACAUGACCAGUGUGGUCUCUCUUCACGGUCCACUCAUGGUCAUCUACAAUUAAAAAAAAAAAAAGAGAUAAGUUUUCGAACCUUGUAAUAUGACCUACGAUUAUUAGAAGUUGCGUUGCUAAAUAAUCACUAGAUCAUCAUGCUAAGAGUAUGAGCUCCGCCUUGUCUCGUAACGUCUUUAGAAAGUUAAUUGUCUAGCUUUUUCUUCUCGUGAAUAUACAUGUUAAACAUUACUAUACAUAUGUAUAUCACGCUUUGAUCAUAUUAUAUUUAUGGUCACAGGAAAUCUGAUGAUCUCAUGAUGAGCUCGUUGUCACUAUGGAGCGUGAAAGACUGAGCCUUCUUGUGGGCAAGCCAUCGUGAGCAAGCAUAAGUUGAGUUCGGUCUCGGCAGCUACGUGAUCCCUACCUCAGAUGCUUGUUUCUUCUCCACCUCAAUGACGAGCUCAUAAUCUCCGAAGUGGCACGAGAUAUACGUUCGGUCACAGCAGCAUACACGCCAACAACUCGCUCGGCACACACGAUCUCAACACGAGAUUUCGGGUCGGCAAUUUUAGGCACGAGUUUAAAUUGAACUUGCUUUUUAUUAGGCACAAGUUUGUGGUCGACUCGCUUAUUGUUAGACACGAGUUUACAGAAACUCGUCUUUGGCUAGGCAUGAGUUUACAGAAAGCUCUCCUUCUACUAGGCACGAGCUCUCAGUAAACUCGCCUCUGUCUUAGCAGGAGUCAAGUAAACUCGUCUUUCACUAAGCACGAGUUUAAAGCAAACUCGCUUAUUACUAGACACAAGUUCGAAAUAAACUCGCCUAAACCGUCAUAGGCAUGAGUAUGUCUAGUUCAUUGUCUAAUAAACCCUAUUCGUAAACUUCGCAGAGAUCGAUUUCAUCUCUCUCAACGAACUUGGGGGACUUACUGUUGGGGAUGGAUUUAUAUCCUCUUCAAGGCCCAUUAGACAUUGAACUAGCUCAUAUUGCUAGGAAGCCCUAGGCUUCAUCUUUCUAUAAAUAAGAAGCUACCUCUUUAUGAGAAAGGAUCUUCUCCUCUUCUUAGAUUAAUAAACAUACUUUCAUAAAAAAAAAAAAAAGGAUGAAGCUUUCUUUCUCCUCCACACAAGUUCAUGAUCCGAUAAAAUAGAAGACCUGGACAUCCUCUGAUUCGCGAUGGCAGUUCCGUUGCUUCCUCCCGGAGAAGGUCUGUGGUGCUGCUUCGGUCUCGGUCCGCCGGUGAAGCUUCUGGGACUGCUCUUCUCGGACUGCUCGAGCUUCUUCCCGGCCCGUGAAACACGAUCUCCCCAGAUGUGUUGCGAUGAACUGGGUCUUUCAAGGUCAAGUGAGAGUCGCGAAGAACACGAACCCACCAAAGAGCCGAAGAUUCUCAUCAGAAGCGACGGCACCUGCACGAGCUUCUUUCCGGUCCACGCGAUUUUCUCAGAGGCGUUAAGAUGGACUGGGUUUUUCGAAAUCAAGCCAGAGGCUUGGAAGGUUAUCGGGAUCUCGCGGCCACAAGAGAAGGACGAUGACAGAGAUCAGCCCUAGCUUGCUCUGCUCCAUCGUUGCCUUCAGCAACAGGGCGUUAGGGGAUUCGAACAGAACACGGGUUGCUGGCGAGAUUGAGAUGAUUCAACAUCAGACAAUCUCACAAGGUAUCCUCAAACCGUUUGCUAACAAGCAGAAGCGAUUCCAGUUCCUUCCAUCUGUCGAUCCAAGAAGGUAACAAAUCGGAAAGGCCAGCGAAAAAAAAAGACAGCAAAGGGUGCGCUUCUCCACUGCCACGUCUCGAGUUUAAUCACGUGCCGAACUCAGCCUGUGUUGGAUCUCGGCUUCCAACCUUCAUAUGAUCUCCUCCUCCUCGGGACAUAUAUAGCCUCGCCUGAUCAGAGCUCCUGCUGAAGCUAAAGAGAAAGUUUGAAACUUUAUCAUGAAGCUUUAUCAUGAAGUUCUGCACUUGAUAUCAGUAUCUUGCCGGCAUCUGCAUUCACUUCGACAACGGUCGAAAACUUUUCCUUCGAUGUCUUAAAAAAAAGUAUCUAUUCUCAUAGAAGGUCUCAAGAAGAACUCAGUCUUGCCUUGCUUCUUCAUCAAGCGAGCUCUCAAGACAAGUUUGACACAACCGGCACAAGCUUCUCGUUAAGAAGGAACAGCGCAUGAGACAUGUCCUAAUCUUCGUAUCAUCUCUCCAAGAAGCCUUCUCGUCAUGUUGAUCUCGUCGUAACAACAAAGCCUCUCGGCGACAGAGGCAAUUCGCACAAGCUUGCCAUCUGGUUGUGUUUCACUGCACUGGACACGUUCUCUGUUUUCUUCUAUCCCUUUGGAAAACUGAAUCAUAGCUUGAAGCGAACUCAGCGGCGGCAAGGUCUUGCUUCUUCACUCAUCAAUCAAAGAUAAGUGCUCUAUAACCUUGAUUGCUUCAUUGCUUGCAACCUGUGCAAACUGUUUAGUUGUAAAUAAAUUACUACUAUAUGCAACUUGUGAAGCUUUGAGUAAAACAAGUUUUGCCACUUGCUUAUUGAUUACACAAAACUUGAUUAUUUCUUUUGGUGAAUCUUAAUCUGAUCAUCAUCAUGUUUUCUGUAAGACAGAGCGUUGCUGCUCGUGUUAACCGCUACUCUUGCCAGAGACGUUGCUCUACGAGACGCUGCCCUUGCCGGUCACUCUGAUCCUGGACACGCCAUGUUUCUCUUAACAGCAAACAGAAAGUUUCUCAAACGUCAUCACAGCCUGACGAACAUACAAGCCAACAACUUGCUCGGCACUUACGAUCUCAACACGAGACUUUGGGUCGGCAAUAGUUCGGUAAACUUGUAUUUUGGGCACGAAUUUAAAUUGAAUUUGCUUUUUAUUAGGCACGAAUUUGCAUUAGACUCGCUUAUUGUUAGACACGAGUUUACAAAAUCUCGCCUUUGGCUAGGCAUGUGUUUACAGAAACUCCCCUUUUACUAGGCACAAGUUCUCAGUAAACUCGCUUUUGCCUCAGCAUGAGUCCAGUAAACUCGUCUUUCGCUAAGCACGAGUUAAAGUAAAAUUAUGCUCAUUUUACUAUGAAGCUCUAGCUUCUUCUUUGUAUAAAUAAAGAGACAUCUCUCUUUAGCAUAGGAUCUUCUCUUCUUCCAUUUUAGACCUAGAACACAUCUUACAAAGAGUUUAUAUCAUUUUAGAUUUACUUUACACUAGAAAUCAUUCUUGUAAUACAAUCUAUGAUCAAUAAACUCUUUUUGAUGUUCAUUUCUCAUUUGGUUCUUUCAAGAUUUCUCCUAAACCUCAAGAAUCUAAUCUUUUAUUUUUAGAUUUUUUAUUUGAUUGAUUCCAACAAACACCACCUAAUAUAAACACCGUUUUUGGAUCAAACAAAGAUCGUCUGCGGUUCUGAGAAUCUGAGAGAGGUUUUCGAAAUCUUAAAGGCAGGGGAGGUUUUCGAGUCUCUGGCGAUCCCUCUGAUGAAGCUGGUAUGGUUGAAAACUUUGGAGAUGGAGAGCUAAGGGAGACUUUCCAGUUUCAUCUUCAAUACUACAUCAUCAUAUGGAUACUGCCCAAAAUUGCGCCAGGUCUGGUGAUCUGGACAAUCAAAUCCGCCGUUCAAAGAUUAAAACCUGCCCCAUGAUUGAUUGAUUCUUUGAUCUUUAUAUGUUUCUACCAUACCAACAAGAUGGCUAUCUCUCCAUCAAAACCUCAGACAAGCUCACGGAGUUUCACCAGAGCUUUGGCAUUAGCAUAAGAUUAGCAUAAGAAUUAUGUUAGGUGACUUAAUUCGAGUGGCUACUCACCCUCAUGCUCUUCAUCAACUCCAUCUUCUCCUACGUGAUCACAAGAUUCGCAGAUCACUCCGAGCUCCAAUCUCCAUGUCUGAUGUGCUCUCAACAACAAAUGCGCCAAGGAAUAGGUUUACGUCCACUUUGGGUGAGAGUCUUGUGUAUGAUAAAGAAGAAGCUAGAGAGCUGUUUGUUUAGGAUCUCCGUUUGUUAUUGUUCUACUUCUACCAUCGGCGUACUUGUCUAAUAUGUAUUUGAUGAUUAUCUAAACCCAUUUCUGAGUACACUACCUUUUGGAUCA